rnacentral:rRNA from 1 species
CCUACGUGGUGCAGCAGUGGGGAAUAUUGGACAAUGGGCGAAAGCCUGAUCCAGCCAUGCCGCGUGUGUGAAGAAGGCCUUCGGGUUGUAAAGCACUUUCAGUGGGGAAGAAAGCCUUGGGGCUAAUACCCUCGAGGAAGGACAUCACCCACAGAAGAAGCACCGGCUAACUCCGUGCCAGCAGCCGCAGUAAUACGGAGGGUGCGAGCGUUAAUCGGAAUUACUGGGCGUAAAGCGCGCGUAGGCGGUCUGAUAAGCCGGUUGUGAAAGCCCCGGGCUCAACCUGGGAACGGCAUCCGGAACUGUCAGGCUAGAGUGCAGGAGAGGAAGGUAGAAUUCCCGGUGUAGCGGUGAAAUGCGUAGAGAUCGGGAGGAAUACCAGUGGCGAAGGCGGCCUUCUGGACUGACACUGACGCUGAGGUGCGAAAGCGUGGGUAGCAAACAGGAUUAGAUACCCCGGUAGUC